UGUCGUCGGCAGCGUAAGAAUCCGUAGAUCCGACCGAUGCCAAUGAUCGAAAAAUAGAUACGAGCGCAACCUGUUCGAAAUAGCCAAAGUGAAACUUAUGACACGCGGUAGUUCUUUCAAGUCGUCGUAUAACAUUGCGUCCAAACCUGUGGAUUGUUGAUUAAUCUACGAUCAAUUUUCAGUGAAAGAUGUUGACAAAAUAAAUGACACCAUUCAUUUCUGAAUUUAGUUAGGAGAAUAAGAUGUUCAUUGCGACGAAAUUGAUUUGAAAUGUCAAGAGAUCACUCGCGCCCGCGAAGGUGUCUAAGCUCAAAAGAAGGAAGGGGAUCUAAUUAUAGAAGUCGUUGUACCGCUCGGUGGAGAACGAUGGAGGGUGUGAGUGCGGGUGCACGAAUAAGAAUCGGUUGUGCAUUGGGCGGUCAUAAAAUGCAGUCUGCAUCCGCUCGACGCAGAUGUACUGCGGAACGGGGUUCGUUUCUCCUACAAGGAGUCCGCAAAGGAUCUCUCGUUUCGGUGUUAAACGAUCUACUGAGAUGUAUCCGGAGUCGCCUCGGCGAAUCGGCAGCUGGUGAUUCGACGAGCUGCUGCCUCUCUCGCGUGCACGUGGAUCCGGUAUACAAUGCGUGUCGCGCUGGUCGCGCAGCGUCCACCGGUCAUCCCCCUUCUCGCUUCUCUCGUCUCGAAGAAGGCCGACGUGUUCGAUCGUCUUGGUCCAGAUGUAUCUCGCAAUCUCUCUUCCUUCGAGACACGUGAUCACAAUCAAUCAAAAGAGAGCCUUCUAGUUAAGAAAUUGCGCAUCGAGUGCUAAAUAUUUGAAAUGUUU